GUGGGGAAUUUUGGACAAUGGGCGCAAGCCUGAUCCAGCAAUGCCGCGUGCAGGAAGAAGGCCUUCGGGUUGUAAACUGCUUUUGUACGGUACGAAACGGUCCGGGUUAAUACCCUGGGCUAAUGACGGUACCGUAAGAAUAAGCACCGGCUAACUACGUGCCAGCAGCCGCGGUAAUACGUAGGGUGCAAGCGUUAAUCGGAAUUACUGGGCGUAAAGCGUGCGCAGGCGGUUUUGUAAGACAGGCGUGAAAUCCCCGGGCUCAACCUGGGAAUUGCGCUUGUGACUGCAAGGCUGGAGUGCGGCAGAGGGGGAUGGAAUUCCGCGUGUAGCAGUGAAAUGCGUAGAUAUGCGGAGGAACACCGAUGGCGAAGGCAAUCCCCUGGGCCUGCACUGACGCUCAUGCACGAAAGCGUGGGGAGCAAACAGGAUUAGAAACCCUUGUAGUCC
rnacentral:rRNA from 1 species